rnacentral:rRNA from 1 species
GACGAACGCUGGCGGCGUGCCUAAUACAUGCAAGUCGAGCGAAUGGAUUAAGAGCUUGCUCUUAUGAAGUUAGCGGCGGACGGGUGAGUAACACGUGGGUAACCUGCCCAUAAGACUGGGAUAACUCCGGGAAACCGGGGCUAAUACCGGAUAAUAUUUUGAACUGCAUGGUUCAAAAUUGAAAGGCGGCUUCGGCUGUCACUUAUGGAUGGACCCGCGUCGCAUUAGCUAGCUGGUGAGGUAACGGCUCACCAAGGCAACGAUGCGUAGCCGACCUGGGAGGGUGAGCGGCCACACUGGGGCUGGGACACGGCCCAGACUCCUACGGGAGGCAGCAGUAGGGAAUCUUCCGCAAUGGACGAAAGUCUGACGGAGCAACGCCGCGUGAGUGAUGAAGGCUUUCGGGUCGUAAAACUCUGUUGUUAGGGAAGAACAAGUGCUAGUUGAAUAAGCUGGCACCUUGACGGUACCUAACCAGAAAGCCACGGCUAACUACGUGCCAGCCGCCGCAGUAA